AUUGCCAUCGUUAGUGGGAAGGUGAUGUCUUCUGAUGUACAUGAUGUUUACUUCACAGACUAAAAUCCCAAACUAAAAUCCUAACCCUAAUUUUUGUUUAAAUUUUAAUCGUUUUUUCAAGAGUUUAGGUUAAUUUAGGGGCAAGGUUGUUUUGAUUUCCGGAAUAAACCAAAGAAUUGAGUUAAUUAAAACCCUACUUUAUAAAAUGAUCGCCUCCAGAAUUCUGCAGCUAUUCAUAAGAUUCAUAAGCUUAGAAAUCAGGUAUAUUCUUGGAAGGAUGCCUAAUUGGUUCAACACGGACCUCUUUGAUUCAACCCUUUCCGCUAUGUCCCGUAAAUUCCUAUUCACCCGUCACUCAAAUCAGCUGAACUCACCAUCUACUUUCAGAUAAUUGAAAUAGCCUUUCAGUUGGUUCUUUUAGUGAUACUUUCUUCUGUAAUGAAGGCGUUCAUUGAAAAUGCCCCAGUUUCACUUCCAAUCACCGAGGAAAAUCAGAAAUCACAGAGGCAAAAGCUACGAGAUUCCAGAAUUCUGCAGCCACGAGAUUCUGAAGGAACAGACAAACUGUUAAACAAGAAAGAUAAUUUGAAUGGGCAUGAAUCCCUGGGAUGCAGCAUGUAUCGGGUUGUUACUGCCUAAAGAGAGAAUUACUAGCAAGAAGGCAAAAGGUGUACCAAAAAUAAGAGGUACCGGAAGCAUUUGAGAGAGCUCUCAGUCUUUGAAAAAAUGGGUUGAUGACGAUAUUAAUACUAACAGAAAUCGGGUUAUGUUCAGAAUGUAUUCAUUUGUCCAAUUCAACACUGAGGACACUGGCGCAAUGUAUACUAAGGGCUUUUCCAGUAUCACUAUCAAACAAGUGAGUUGGUUGAGCUUGGCCAUACUGACAGAGAUCAAGCUGUGUUCGCUGCUUCUCACCCAACACCCGCUAUAAUAUUCCCUUUUGUAGCAGCAACAUGAUGGCUAGAAUAGGUAAGUAUGAUCCAUGUCACUCUUUCUCUGCUACCAUUAGUAUCAUAGGAUGUAUGUGCACAAGUGGAUAGUAUAUGCCUGGUGCUAUAUGCUUUUGAAGAACAUGGUUAAUGUUGAUACAUAUGCAAUCUAGCAUAUCACAGUUUUAUGACUGAAAAUUUUGUAGGUACAGAAGUUAAUUGGAGGGAGUCGUGACCCUUAGGUUUUGGUGGCUUCUCUUUUUAACUGUGAACACUACUGUUGCUCUUUUUAACUAGGAACGCCUUUGUUGAUGCCUUUUGGUGUAGGUGGAUAGGAUUGAGUUUACUGGGAGAGAGGUUUAUUAUUAGCAAAUCAUUCUUUACUCAUUUACUCAGUUUGAACCUUUACUCUGAUUAUUUGUUAGUUGUCUACAGGGAUAUCUAACCCCCCCUCUUACAUUUUCGUGUUACAGACCCUUGCAUCUGAUUAAUUUUCAUGUGGAAUCCAAUAUAGCUAUGGAAUAAUGAGUACUGAGCAUGAGGAUUCAUGAUUUUUUUUGAAUUUAUUAUUUGUACGAUCUUGAACAAAGAUAAUAAUUGUUGCUGAUAUCCUUGCAUGAUUUGCAUUAUUGAUUUAGCUUCUCAUAUGAGAUUUGCUAUGAGAGAAUCCUAGCAGUAGACCUCCAGCAUCAUAUGGUGCAAGAUCAGUUUCAUUUGUGUAAUUGAUAUAAUGUCUACUCUUCUGACUUUUCUUUAUGAUGCCAUGUUACAAAAACAACUACAGUCCAAGCGAGAGAAAUUCUGAUAACCCUCAGCAGCGCACUGAUCUUCACAGAAUUGAGGUGUUUGCUUGAGGUCUUCUGCUUGAUGAAGGAGCUCUGUCACUAUAUACUUUAACAUGUUUACAUUUGAAGAGGUUGCUGGCGUAAUUUUUUGCAUAUGAAAGAGAUGUUAUGAGGAUUUCUUUACUCCCAUAAUCAUUGCUCUGCAGUUCAUUGAGUAACGCUACUCAUUGCUCUGAAGAUUGCAUUUUUAGAGCAUUUGUAGCGUUACUCAUUGCUCUGAAGAUUGCAUUUUCAGCGUUACUCAAUGAACUACAAAACAAUGAUUAGGGGAGUAAAGAAAUCUUCAGAGUGGUUUUACUCUGCUUGCCAAAAAUGAAAUGAAAGACAUGCAAUAAUCAACAAAACACUGGUGCUACUCUUGCUUUGAAGAAGUCGAGUUUUCAAAAACCAGGUAAAUAUAUUUCGAAAUAGACAUUUGAAGUGUUAGGAAAACAAAUAUCCCUAUCGGAUUCCUGUCGGGAAAGUUUUCAGGUUAUUCGGCGGUAAGUCUAGCAACGCCUAUCUUUAAAAUACAUCUCAUAUAUUUUCUACAUGUAAAAGUUAGAGCACUGAUACAAAAUUACACAAGUUAAAAGCUACUUCACACCGACUUAUUCUUAUUUGUGUUGUGUAGGAUGUAUUUGUAAGGUUGUUGCUUGCAAGACUAUAGCAGUGAGUAUGCCAAAAAUCAAUCCAUAUUUAUUAUUGUACACUACGUUGUUGUGAUGUUGCCAAAAUACAUGAUUAUGAAUUUGAUCGCUUUUCCAUUCCUCAUGUGUUGCCACUUGCCAUCUUAGCUCAGUCGGAAGAGUGCACGGCUUUGAACCAUGUGGUUGUGGGUUCGAUUCCCACAGAUGGCCGAGGUCCUUAUGGUUAUACAUGUUUUCGUGCAGCUAAUCUUACUUGGUUCUUUGUGUGUUACCAAUACUUAUUACUUAUGACCCUUCUACUGAAGUGGACUUCAGCGGAAAUUAAUAUGUUUACAGGUAGCUAGCCUUAAAAUUGAUCUACCUAUUUUUUGAUCCAAAAAUUGCACCUCAUUGGUUAUUUUUUAACAGACCUGUGUUUAGUUUCAUAAGGAACUACAUAAUACACACUUAAAACUGCCAAUUUCUAGCUAAAACUUAAAUUUGUAUCGGUAUUCAAGUUUUAUUUGUUGAUGAAGAGGUCAUUAUAGGGAUGUAUUUUUCCAAGUACUACCACGCCAGAACCAUGGUACGAAACCUAAAAUGCAAAAAGAUUGUCGGAGGAAAUCUGUUUAGAGACUAUCUAUGAGUAGCUGAUGUCCAUGUAGUUUUUGCGCAUUUACCUAGAUAAUUAAUAUUGGUGUCCGAGCAUACGAUGGCAAAUUUCUGUGAAGAAGAUAGAAAAAGGAAGAGAAUACAGAGAAGUACGUACAAGUUUGGGUACCAGUAGAUAAAGGAAAUGAUAGAGCGAAACACGUACAAGCUUGGAUUUGGAAUGAUGACAUUCUUGGAGAAAGCUAAGAUAUUAAUAGAUGAAAUGUUUUUGGAGGAACUUGGAAUAAUAGUUGGCCAAGGCGAAAUAUGUGUAGAAAGAACAAGGAAUGGUUUCGUUCUUACGGAAAGAUGGUAGAAAAGGGUAUGGGGAAGGUUUGGAUCUUACGGGAAGAUGUUAGAAGAAGUACGGCCAUGACUCUGCUGAUUUUUUCACAUAGGAAAUAUUAGUAAUGAAAUGAUUGUCUUUUUCCCGGGUGUUAUUCUUUAACCAUUUUCUGUUUUUAUUUUGGAUGUACUUGAUGCUAGAUCUUUAUCCUUUUCGUCGGUGUUCUUGAAACUUAUCUUUAUCGGCUUGGUUUGUUAGUCCUUUCAAUUAUGUUUUUCCAAA